rnacentral:rRNA from 1 species
CAUAUGCUUGUCUCAAAGAUUAAGCCAUGCAUGUCUGAGUACAGACCGAUCUAAGGUGAAACCGCGAAUGGCUCAUUAAAUCAGUCAUAAUUCCUUGGGUAGUGAAAAACUUUCCUCGGAUAACUGUGGAAAAUCCAGAGCUAAUACGUGCAACUGAGCUCCGACCUCGGCGCGAGUCGUGGGAAGAGCGCAUUUAUUAGAUUCAAAACUGAUCGGUGUACUCCUUCGGGAUAGGCCGUUUUUCAAAAGUUUGAUGACUCCGGAUAACUUAGCCGAGCGCUACGGUCUUUAGUACCGGCGCCGUAUCUUUCAAGUGUCUGCCUUAUCAGCUUUCGAUUGUAGGUUAAACGCCUACAAUGGCUGUAACGGGUAACGGGGAAUCAGGGUUCGAUUCCGGAGAGGGAGCCUGAGAAACGGCUACCACAUCUAAGGAAGGCAGCAGGCACGCAAAUUACCCACUCCCAGCCCGGGGAGGUAGUGACGAAAAAUAACGAUGCGAGACUCUUCCGAGGCCUCGCAAUCGGAAUGAGUCCAUUUUAAAUCCUUGGACGAGGAUCCAUUGGAGGGCAAGUCUGGUGCCAGCAGCCGCGGUAAUUCCAGCUCCAAUAGCGUAUAUUAAAGUUGMUGCGGUUAAAAAGCUCGUAGUUGGACUUUCUAGAUCCAUUUCGUGGGUGAGUCGCUCUUUGUACUAACGUCUCGCUUUGUUCCUCGWUGRCGUCGUCGCGGCUUUCUCUCUUCGGAGGGAUUCCCGGCGUUGCGGAAUCUUGCGGACGGUGAGGCGUUGUCUUAGAGUAUAGCUCGUCCGCGUUUGGUACAAUUAAAAAAUUGUCGGCUCGCUCGGAGUGCUCUUUACCGAGUGUUCCAGGGUGGCUGACACGUUCACUUUGAAAAAAUUAGAGUGCUUAAAGCGGGCUUAUUUACGGCCUGAAUGUCUGUGCAUGGAAUGAAGUAACAGGACCUCGAUUCUGUUGUUUUUGUCGGUUUUAAUGAACCGAGGUAAUGAUUAAAAGGGACAGACGGUGGCAUUAGUAUUGCGACGCUAGAGGUGAAAUUCUUGGACCGUCGCAAGACUAACUACUGCGAAAGCAUUUGCCGAGAAUGUUUUCAUUAAUCAAGAACGAAAGUUAGAGGAUCGAAGGCGAUCAGAUACCGCCCUAGUUCUAACCCUAAACUAUGCUAACUAGCGAUCCGCCGGAGUCAUUCCCACGACCCGGCGGGAAGCCCCAGGGAAACCAAAGUCUUUGAGUUCCGGGGGAAGUAUGGUUGCAAAGCUGAAACUUAAAGGAAUUGACGGAAGGGCACCACCAGGAGUGGAGCCUGCGGCUUAAUUUGACUCAACACGGGAAACCUCACCAGGCCCGGACAUCAUAAGGAUUGACAGGUUGAGAGCUCUUUCUCGAUWUGAUGGGUGGUGGUGCAUGGCCGUUCUUAGUUGGUGGAGUGAUCUGUCUGGUUGAUUCCGAUAACGAACGAGACUCUACCCUACUAACUAGUCGGCGGAUCGUAACCCUGAGAUGGUUAGUCGGUAUAGGAGAGUUUGCCCAAACGAAAGUCCGGUCGAUAGGAGUAUCCGUUCAUUCGGUGCGUCUAAGAAUCGCGGCCUCGCGUAAGCUGCUUUCUGAUUGCUACUACUGCUGGGGGCGUCCGUCGCAAUGUAUCUUCUUAGAGGGAUCAGCGGCGUAUAGCCGCACGAGAAAGAGCAAUAACAGGUCUGUGAUGCCCUUAGAUGUUCUGGGCCGCACGCGCGCUACAAUGUAGGGUUCAGCGUGCUUUCCACUCUCCGAAAGGAGCGGGUAACCCGUUGAAACCCCUACCCGAUUGGGAUUGGGGAUUGCAAUUAUUUCCCAUAAACGAGGAAUUCCCAGUAAGCGCGAGUCAUUACCUCGCGCUGAUUACGUCCCUGCCCUUUGUACACACCGCCCGUCGCUACUACCGAUUGAAUGAUUCAGUGAGGGCAUCGGACUGGCCCUUCGGUUUAG